CAAAGUGCGACUCGCUCGUUCAAAAAGUUGGUGGGUUCCUGCAACUGCGGGUUCUUUGGGUUAGGCUAAAACUCAGGACUCGUGAACAGUAAAAAUAUUUCUAAGAAAAAGUUAUCUAAGUACAUGGCUUUCACCCCCAUCUACUGUAGCCCGUGUGACACUAUUUGGACCUUUAAUGACGCCGCCAGCCUCUCCUAGCUGGCUGUGACCACCUGGAGCGCAGGAGCUAAAUUUCAGCCUGGCGGCCUCUGGUCCUUAGCACAGCGUCUCGGAUGAAUUAAGUGAUGGAGGAGGAACUGAGAAGCUUCCAGCGUGACGAUAGCAGUACCAUUGGAGCGCCUACUGUGUCCCAGGCACUGAGCCACACUCUACAAGGAUUCAUUUAAUCUUCACACAGCAUAAGAGAGAGAGAAAGAAAGAGCACAAGCAGGGGGAGCAGCAGGCAGAGGAAGAAGCAGGCUCCCCACCAAGCAGGGAGCCCAACGCGGGACUCGGUCCCAGGACCCUGGGAUCAUGACCUGAGCCGAAGGCAGACACCGGCGUCCCUGGAUAUUAACCUUUUAUCGGAUGUGUGGUUUGCAAAAACUUUCUCCCAUUUUGUAGAUUGCCUUUCAUUUUGUUAAAUCUUUUGUUCAAAAGCUUUUAAGUUUGUUGUAAUCCCUUCUGUUUUUACUUUUGUUGUUUGAUGUCAUAUCCAAAAAUCAUUGCCAAAACCAGUCUCAAGGAGCUUCUUCUCUAUAUUUUCUUCUAGGAGUUGGAUAGUAUGAGUCCUUAUGUUCAAGUCUGCAAUCCAUUUCACGUGAAUUUUUGUGAGUGGUGUAAGAUUGGUGUCCAGUUUCAGUGUUCUGCAUGUGUUCAGUUUUCUCAACACCAUUUGUUGAAGAGUCUUUCUUUUCCCCAUUUGGUGCUAUUGGCCCCCUUGUUGAAUAUUAGUUUAAUGUAUAAGCAGAGGUUAACGUUGGGCUCUUUGUUCUGUUCUGUCAAUGUGUCUGUUUUUGUGCUGGUACCAUACUGUUUUUAAUACUAUAGCUUUGUAGUAUAGUUUGAAAUCAGGAAGUGCAAUAUCUGUAGUUUUGUUCUUUUCCUCAGGAUUGCUUUAGCUAUUUGGAGUCCUUUGUGGUUCCAUACAAACAUUGCAGCUUAUUUUCUAUUUCUGUGAAGAAUGCCAUUAAUAUUUGUUGGGGAUUGUGUUGAAUCUAUAGAUUGCUUUGAGUAGUAUACACAUUUUAGCAAUAUUAAUUCUUCCAGUCCAUGAGCAUAGGUUAUCUUUCCAUUUGUUUCUGUCUUUUUCUAUUUUUUUCAUCAGUCUUGUAGUUUUUGUUGUACAGAACUUUCACCUUCAGGGCAGCCUUGGUGGCUCAGUCAGUUGGGCAUCUGCCUUCGGUUCAGGUCAUGAUCUCGGGGUCCUGGGAUCAAGCCCCAUGUCAGGCUCCCUGCUUGGCAGGGAGUCUGCUUGUCCCUCUGCCCCGCUCCCCCUCUCUGCCUGUGCUCUCUCUCUCUCAAAUAAAUAAAUAAAAUCUUUAAAAAAAAAAAAAAACUUUCACCUCCUACAUUAAAUUUAUUCCUAAGUAUUUUAUUGUUUUUGAUGCUACUGUGAAUGGGAAAGCUUUUUUUUUUGUGACCAUUAUUACCUUUUUCUUAGACUUGACAAUCAUUUUAUUGAAACAUAAUUGACAUAAAAUGUUUUAUUAGUUUCAAGUGUACAACAGAUUGAUUCCACAGUUCUGCACAUUACUCAUGGCUCACCAUGAUAAGUGUAGUCACUAUAUGUCACUACACAACAUUAUUACACUAUCAUUGACUAUAUUCUUUAUGCUGUACUUUUCAUCUCUGUGACUUAUUUAUUUUGCAACUGGAAUUUUCCUCCAAUCCCCUUUAUUUUGCCUAUCCCUCCACCUGUCUCCCUUCUAGCAGCCACCAGUUUGUUCUCUGUACUUAAGAAUCUGUUUUGUUUUUUAGAUUCCACAUAUAAGCGAAAUCAUAUGGUAUUUGUCUUUCUCUGUCUAACUUAUUUCACUUAGCAUUAUACCCUCUCAGUCCAUCCAGGUUGUUGCAAAUGGCAAGAUCUCAUUCUUUUUGAUAGCCAAGUAACAUUCCCUGCGCACGCACGUGUGUAUGCCACAUCUUUAUUCAACCACUGAUGGACACUUGGGUUGCUUCCAUAUCUUGGCUAUUGUAAACGAUCCUGCACUGAACAUAGGAGGGAAUAUAUCUUUUCAAAUUAGUGUUCAUUUUUGAGGGGUAGAUACCCAGUGGUGGAAUUACUUGAUCAUAUGGUAUUUCUAGUUUUAAUUUUUUGAGGGACCUCCCUACUGUUUUCCACAGUGGCUGCACCAGUUUGUAUUCCCACCAACAGGGCAUAAGUGUUCUAUUUUCCCCACAUCCUUACCAACACUUGUUAUUUCUUGUCUUUUUGAUACUAGGCAUUCUGACAGGUGUGAGGUGAUAUAUCAUUUUGGUUUUGAUUUGUAUUUCCCUCAUGAUAAGUGAUGGUGAUCAUCUUUUCAUGGGUCUGUUGGCCAUCUGGAUGUCUUUGGAAAAAUAUCUACUCAAGUCCUCUGCUCAUUUUUAAAUCAGAUUAUUUGUAUUUUUUUUGGUGUUGAGCUGUAUGAGUUCUUUACAUAUUUUGGGUAUUAACCCCUUAUUGGGUAUAUCAUUUGCAAAUAUCUUCUCCCAUUCACUGGGUUGCCUUUUUGUUUUGUUGAUAGUUUCUUUUGCUGUGCAAAAGCUUUUUAUUUUAAUGUGGUCCCAGUAGUUUACUUUUGUUUUUGUUUCCCUUGCCUGAGGAGACAGAUCAUAUAUAUGUUUAAGGACACAUUCCAUGAGAUUACUGCCUAUGUUUUCUUUUAGGUUUUUAUGGUUUCAGGUCUCACAUUUAGGUCUUUAAUCCAUUCUGAGUUUAUUUUUGUGUAUGGUGUAAGAAAGUGGUCCAGUUUCAUUCUUUUGCAUAUAGCUGUCCAGUUUUCCCAAUACCAUUUAUUGAAAAACUGUCUUUUCCCCCAUUGUAUAUUCUUGUCUCCUUUGUCAUAGAUUAAGUGACCAGGUAAGUGUGGGUUUAUUUCUGGGCUCCCUGUCAUGUUCCACUGAUCUAUGUGUGUGCUUUGUGCUGGUACCGUAUUGUUCUGAUUACCAUAGCUUUGUAGUAAACCUUAAAAUCUGGAAUUGUGAUACCUCCAGCUUUGUUCUUUCUCAAGAUUGCUUUGGCUAUUUGAGGUCUUUUGUGAUUUCAUACAAAUUUUAGGAUUAAAAAUCUGUGAAAAAUGCUAUUGGUAUUUUGAUAGGGAUUACACUGAAUCUGUAGUUUGCUUUGGGUAGUAUGGACAUUUUAACAACAUUAAUUCUUCUGAUUUAUGAGCAUGAUGUAUCUUCCUAUUUGUGUCAUCAUCAGUUUCUUUCAUCAGUGUUUUAUAGUUUUCAGAGGACAAGUUCUUCACCUCUUUGGUUAAGUUUAUUCCUAAUAAUUUGUUGUUUAAAGCCACUGUUCCCUUACGGAUUUUCUGCCUGGAUGAUCUAGACAUUGAUGUUAAGUGAGGUGUUAAAAUCCCCUACUGUUAUCGUACUACUGUUAAUUUCUCCCCUUAUGUCUAUUAAUAUCUGCUUUUAUGUAUUUAGGUGUUCCCAUGUUGGGUGCAUAGAUAUUUACAAUUGUUAUACCCUCUUGUAGGAUUGGUCCCUUUAUCAUUAUGUAGUGUUCUUCUUUGUCCUUUGCUACAUUGUGUUAAAACCUGUUUUGUCUAGGGGCACCUGGGUGGUGCAGUCAGUUGAGUAUCAGACUUGGUUUUGGCUCAGGUUGUGAUCUCAGGUUCAUGAGUGAGCCCCACAUCGGGCUCUGCAUGGAGUCUGCUUGAGAUUCUCUCUCCCUCUCCCCCCACACAUGUGCAUGCUCACUUGCUCUCUCUCCAAUAAGUAAAUCUUUAAAAAAAAUAAUGAAGUUUGUUUUGUCUAAUGUAAGUAUUCCCACCAUGGCUUUUUUUUCUUUUUGCUUCCAUUUGCAUGGUAUAUGCUUUUCCAUCCCUUCACUUUCAGUCUGUACAUGUUUUUCAGUCUGAAGUGAGCCUCUUGUAAGCAGCAUAUAGAUGGGUCUUGGUUUUUUUAUUUUUUAUUUUUAUUUUUAUUUUAAAAGAUUUUAUUUAUCUAUUUGACAGAGAGAGACACAGCGAGAGAGGGAACACAAGCCGGGGGAGUGGGAGAGGGAGAAGCAGGCUUCCCACGGAGCAGGGAGCCCGAUGCGGGGCUUGAUCCCAGGACCCUGGGAUCAUGACCUGAGCCAAAGGCAGAUGCUUAACCAACUGAGCCACCCAGAUGCCCCCCUUUUUUUAACCCACUGAGUCACCCUAUGUGUUUUGAUUAGAGCAUUCAGUCCAUUUACAUUUAAAAUAAUUGUUGAUAGGUAUGUACCUAUUGCCAUUUUGUUAAAUGUUGUCUGGUUGUUUUGUAGCUUUUCUCUGCUUUUUUCUACUUCCUCUUUUCCCUUGUGAUCUGAUGGUUUUGUUUAGUGUUAUGGUUGGAUUCCUUUCUCUUUUUAUUUUUUGUAUAUCUGUUAUAAGUUUUUUUUUUUUUUUAAGAUUUAUUUACUGAGAGAGAGAGAGCACAAGUGAGAGAGCACAAGCAGGGGAAGCAACAAAGGGAGAGGGAGAAGCGACUGCCCGCUAAGUAGGGAGCCGGACACGGGGCUCGAUCCCAGGACCCUGAGGUCAUGACCUGAGCCGAAGGCAGCCGCUUAACCGACUGAGCCACCCAGGUGCCCCUCUGUUAUAGGUUUUUGAUUUGUGAUUACCACUGGGUUCAUGUAUAACAUCUGAUGUAUAUAGCAGUCUGUGUUUAAGUUGAUGCUCUCUUAAGUUUGAACACAUUCUAAAACCUCUAAAUUUUUACUCCACUCUCCAUGUUUUAUGUAUAUGAUGUCAUAUUUUACAUUCUUUUGUGUAUGCUUUGCUUAAUUUUGUAGAGAUAAUUGAUUUUGCUACUUUUGUGUUUUAACUUUCAUAUUGGCUUUAUAAGUAAUUAACAUACUAUCUUUAUUAUAUUUUUGUUUUUAUCUGUGAAAUUUUUUCCUUUCAUUAUUUUCUUCUAGUUAUGGCCUUUUUUUUUUUUCCCAACUUAAGAAUCCCCUUUAACAUUUCUUACAAGGCCAGUUUAACUAUAACUUUUGUUUGUCUGGGAAACUUUCUCUCUCCAGUGAUAACCUUGCUGGGUAAAGUAUUCUUGGUUUAAGUUUUUUCCCUUUUAGCCCUUUGAAUAUAUCAUGCCACCUUCUUCUGGCCUGCAUAGUUUCUGCUGAAAAAUCAGCUGAUAGCUUUAUGGGGUUUUCCCUUGUAUCUUGUUUUGGUUUGCUGCUUUUAAAAUUGUGUCUUUAUUAUUACUUUUUGCCAUUUUAACUAUUAUGUGUUUUGGUCUGGACCUCCUUGGGUUCACCUUGUUAGGGGCUCUCUUUGCUUCCUGGACUCGGAUGUUUGUUUCCUUCCCCAGAGUGGAGAAAUUUUCAGCUCUUAUUUCUUGAAAUGAUUUUCAGCCCUCUCUCUCCCUCUGGCACUCUAUAAUGUGAAUGCUAUUAUAUUUGAUGAUGUCUUUUCUCAGGUCCAGUGAGCAUCUUUAUGACCAUUACUUGGAAUUUUUUAUCAAGCUUAUUAUCUCUCUUUCAUUUAGCUCUUUUACUGUGAUUUUGUCUUAUUCUUUGAUUUGGGACGUAUUCCUUUGUCUCCUCAUUUGGUCUGUUUUUAUGUAUUCGGUAGAUCAGCUGUAUCUCCUGGUCUUUAAAAUAGUGGCCUUGUGUAGACGAGGUCCUGUGGUGCCCUGUAGUGCAGUGCCCCCGUGGUCAGCAGAACCAGGUGCUCCAGAAGGAUCUCCUUUGUGGGCUUGGGUGCCCUCUCGUGGCUGAGCCGUGACUGCCUCCAGCUGCGCUAGCUGCAGUCUGCCUGCCUUGCCUGCUGUGGCGUCCUGGGCGUUUACUCCCCCGCUGUUGCGAGGCCUCUGCAGCAGAGGGGCUUUCAUUAGUGGACAGAGCCGGCAGUCAGUCCAGCUGUCUGCACUUAGCCUCUCUGCCACAGCUGUGGGCACACUGACGGGCAGGGCUUGCUGCAUGCACAGUCAGCUAAGAGGCUCAGUGCAGGGACUGCAUGCAUGUUGGUGCGUGGGCUUAUUUCCACCACGCCUCAGGACAGGAGUCACUUUGGAGGGAUACUGGGAGGCGGGCAGUUGGAUUGGGUGGAUCCGCAGGAGAACACUGGGGUAGGGGCACGCAAUGCUAGCAAAGUAGAGGGAGAGUUUAGUGCUGGCUCCUGCAAGCAUCCAGCCAUCUAGGCUGGGGAACCAGCACUUUUGUUCCUGGAGAAAUCUCCUGCAGAUCCCUACCUCUCCAAACACAUUCUAAAAUUAGUCAGGAUAUCUCUUUCAGGUAUACCCUAGGUGCUUUUCAGACUGCUGUUUUCAUGCUGUGUCUCCAGCCAAGUUAUUUAGUAAAUUGGCUCUUUAAGGGUGGGGACUCCGUUUCCCUUCACCCACCCUCUGAAUUUUAAAGCUCUUGGGCUGAAGGCCUGUUGGUUUUCAAAGCCGGUUGUUAUGGGGACUCCUCUUCCCCAGUGUGCGUCCCCAGUGCUGGGCGUGCCUGGUGUGAGAUCUCAUCCUCUCGCUUCUUCCUGUCUGUGGCUAGUCACACUGGGGGUCUGGUUCCCAACCCCGUCUCCACCCCCCUGCACUUUCUGAUGUGGCCUUCCCGAUGAUUAGCUGUGGAAGGUCUGUUCUGUCAGUCUUCAGGUCAUUUUUGGAGUUAGUCAUUUAGAUGUAGCUGUUGUCGCAGUGUGUCCAUGGGACAAGGUAAGCUCAGGAUUCUCCUCCGCCGCCAUCUUCCCAAAAUUCCCUCAGCAGAAGUUUAUUUCUUUUUCAGAUGUUUCAUACCUCGUGUAUAGAAAUGCAAUUGAUUUCAGUAUGUUGGUUUUGUAUACUGCAACUUUAUUGAAAUCAUUGGUUAGCUCCGACAGUUUUUUGGUUGAGCCUUGGGAUUUUCAGUGUACAGAAUCCUAUCAUCUAAAAAUAGUGACAGUUUUACUUCGUCCUUCUCAGUUUGGAUGGAUUUUAGUUCUUUGUCUUGCCUAAUCGCUCAGGCAAGGACUUCCAGUACUGUAUGGGAUAAGAGCGCUGAGAGUGGACAUGCUAGUCUUGGUCCUGAUCUUAGAGAAAAAUUUUUUCAUUUUUACCUCCACCGAGUAUGAUGUUAUUUGUGGGUUUGUUGUAUAUGGCCUUUAUUAUGUUCCAUUUUUACCUCCACCGAGUAUGAUGUUAUUUGUGGGUUUGUUGUAUAUGGCCUUUAUUAUGUUCCAUUUAUAUCCCGUCUACCAAGGGUUUUUACUAUUGAAAGUAUGUUGUAUUUUGUCAGAUUGCUUUUUCUGUGUCUAUUAAGAUGAUCAUAUGAUUUUUAUCUUUCAUUGUUUUAAUGUGAUAUAUUACACUUAUUGAUUGGCAUAUAUUGAACCAUCCUUGCAUCCCAGAGAUAAAUCCCAUUUGGUCAUGGUGUAUAAUUUUUUUUUUUUUUUAGAUUUUUUUAAUUUUUAUUUAUUUGAGAGAGAGAGCACAUGAGAGGGGGGAGGGUCAGAGGGAGAAGCAGACUCCCCGCUGAGCAGGGAGCCCAAUGCGGGACUCGAUCCCGGGACUCCAAGAUCAUGAUCAUGGUGUAUAAUUCUUUUUAUGUGUUCUCAAAUUCAGUUUGCUAAUAUUUUGUUGAGAAUAUUUGCAUUUAUAUUCAUCAGGGAUACUGAUCUAGUUUUCUUAUGGUGUCCUUAUCUCUCUUUGGUAUCUGGCCUUAUAGAAUGAGUUUGGAACGAUCCCUACCUCCUCAACUUUUUGCAAGAGUUUGAGAAGGACUGCUGUUAAUUAUUCUUUGAAGGCUUGGUAGAAUUUGCCUGUGAAGCCAUCUGGUCCUGAGGUUUUCUGUGUUGGGAGGGUUUUGAUUACUGAUUCAAUCCCUUUAUUCCUUAUUCAUCCUUUCAGAUACUCUAUUUCUUCCUGACUCAGGCUUGGUGGAUUGUGUGUUUCUAGAAAUUUAUUCAUUUCUUCUAGGUUGUCUAAAUUGUUGAUGUACAAUUGUUCAUAGUAGUCUCUUAUGGUCCUAUGUAUUUCUGUAGUAUCAAUUGUAAUGUGUCCUUUUUCAUUUCUUGAGUCUUUUUUCCUUAGUCUGGUUAAAGAUUUUGUUUACUGUUUCAAAGAACUGGCCUUUAGUUUUGUUGAUCCUUUCCGUUUUUCUGGUCCCUAUUUCUUUAUUUCUACUCUGAUCCUUAUAAUUUCCUUUCUUCUGCUAACUUCUGUUCUUUGGGGGAAAGGUUAUUUGUGAUUUUUCUAAUUCCUUAAUGUAUGCAUUUAUUGCUAUAAACUUUCGUCUCAGAACUGCUUUUAUUGUAUCCUGUAAGAUUUGAUAUGCUGUAUUUCCAUUUUCAUUUGUUUCAAGGUGAUUUUUUAUUUCCCCUUUGAUUUCUUCUUUGACACAUUGGUUGCUCAAAAGUAUGUUGUAUAGUUUCCACAUGUUUGUAAAUUUUCCGGUCUCCCUUUUGUUGAUUCCUAGUUUCAUACCAUUAUGGUAAGAAAAGAUAGUUGAUGUGGUUUCAGUCUUCUUAAAUUUGCUGAGAUUUGUUUUGUGCCCUAUCAUGUCAUCUGUCCUGGAAAAUAUUUCAUGUGCACUGAAGAAGAAUGUGUAUUCUGCCUCUGUUGGAUAGAAUGCUCUCAUAUGUCUGUUCUUUUGUUCUAUAGUUCAGUUUAGUUUCUUUGUUGAUUUUCUACCUGGAUGGCUUAUUUAUUGCUAACAGUGGGGUACUGAAGUCCCCUACUAUUAAUGUAUUGUUGUCUGUUUCUCCCUUUAGAUCUUUUGGUAUUUGCUUAAUAAAUUUUGGUGAUCCAAUGUUGAGUGCAUAUAUAUGUACUAUGGUGUUGUAUCUUCCUGAUGUAUUGACCAUUUUAUCAGUAUAUAAUGACCUUCUUUGUCUCCUUUUGUUUUUAGGCUUGACUUGCACCUGCUUUCAUUUGGUUUCUGCUUGCCUGGAAUAUUCUCUUAAUUCCUUCACUUUGAGCCUGUGUGUAUUUUAAGAGUUGAAAUGAGUUUCCUGUAGGCAGCAUAUGGUUGGGUCUUGUUUUUAUCCAUCAAGCUACUCUGUGCCUUUUGAUUGAUGAAUUCAAUCCAUUUAUAUUGAGUAAUUAUUGAUCUUAAGGACUUAAUACUACUGCCUCUUAUAUUUUGCCUUCUGAUUGUUUCUUUUCCCUAUGUUUCCGUCUGCCUUUAUAACGUGGUGGUUUUCCAUGAUGAUUUGCUCAGUCUCCCUUUUUUUAUGUUUUGUGACUUUUCUCUAGAUUUUUGCUUUGUGAUUACCAUGUGGCUUACAUAAAACAUCUAAGGAGUCCUCUUUUUAUGCUGAUAGCACUUUAUCUUCAUAUAAAGCUUCCACCCUUUUACUCCUCCCCUUUUACAUUUUUUAUGUCAUAGUUUACCUUUUUUUUUUGCUUUGAAUUAUUGAGGAAUUAUAGUGGUGGUGGUUUUUUGUUGUUGCUCUUAAGCCUUUAUACUAUAAUUAAGUGGUUAACACAUCAUUCUAAUAUAUAGUUUUCUAAAUGUUUUUCACCUUUGUCUAGAGUAUAGGUCAUUUCAUGUGCUUUUAUGUCACUAAUUAGCGUCUUUCCAUUUCAGCUUGGAGAAAUUUCAGUAUUUCUUGCAAGGCAGAUCUAGUGGUGAACCCCCUCAGUUUUAGUAGGGAAAGCCUUUAUUUCUCCUUCAUAGCUGAAGCAUAUCUUUGCCAGGUAAAGUGUUUUUAUUUUUCAGCACUUUGAAUGGGUCAUUCCACUCCCUCCUGGGCUGUAGAAUUUCUGAGAAACCCAUCAUUAAGCUAAUGGAGGUUCCUCUGUAGGUUACUUUGUUUCCUGGGUGCCUUUUUUUUUUUUUUAAACAGAUUCAUUAUAGGGGCGCCUGGGUGGCUCAGUCGGUUAAGCGUCUACCUUCGGCUCAGGUCAUAAUCUCAGGGUCCUGGGAUCGAGCCCCACAUCGGGCUCCCUGCUCUGCGGGAAGCCUGCUUCUUCCUCUCCCACUCCCCCUGCUUGUGUUCCCGCACUUGCUGUGUCUCUGUCAAAUAAAUAAAUAAAAACUAAAAAAAAAAAAAAAAAAAAAACCAGAUUCAUUAUAAUGUGUCUUGGAGAUCAUCUUUUUGCAUUGAGAUAAUAGAGUAUUCUGUUAGCUUCUUGGACUUCUCCACUUCCUUCCCCAGGUUUGGGAAGUUCUGUUCUAUUUCUCUAAAUAUACUCUCUGCUCCCUUUUCCCCUUCUCCUUCUGGUAGACUAUUAUAUUUUUCUCAUCAUACGUGAUAGCUCUUACGGGGUUUCUUCUUUUUUAUUUUUUUUAAUCUAAGCUCUCCUCUCCUGGGUCAUUUCUAAAUUCCUAUCCUCCAAGCACUAAAUCCCUUCUUCAAUCUGAUCUGCCCUAUUUCCUAAGCUCUCUAUCUCAUUCACUGAAUUCGUCAGCUCCAGAACUUGUCUGGUUCUUUUUGAAAAUUUCAAACUCCUUGGUAAGAAAACACCUCCUGUUCAAUAAUUUUAUUCCUAAAUAGAUGAGCUUGUAAUAAAACUCAUGUGCUUCAAAUUUCUUUGUAGUAGCUAUUUUGAAUUAUUUGUCAGUUAAGUCACAAUAUUUUGCACCUUUGGUUCAGUUGCUGGAGAAUUUCUUUUUUUGUGAUACCAUAUUACCAUCAUUUUUUAUAGUGCUUGAUUAAAUGUACCUCUGCCAUUGCAUCGAAAUAGCACACUUCUCUCAGUUGUUUACUUUGUUAUAGUUCAACAGAUUGGCAAUUGCAGACCUUUCUUUUGUUUCCCAGAAGGUGGUGCAAUAGCUCAGGUUUUUGGCUUCUCCUCACCUGAGCUGGUUCUGGAGCUGCACUCAGGACCACAUGUAAAAGCAGUCAGUCCAGAAGCUGGCAACAGAGUGAACACUUCACACUAUAACGAGACCAAGAGGCAAGUUCGGAAAGAAUGAAGAACCGGAAGAGCUGUCAUCCCUGACUAAAGCCUCCAGCCUCCCUCCUUACAGAUGAUCUCAGUCCAGCCUCUGAGAGCUUUAUGAGCGCUAACAGAGUAUCAAUGAGCAUGAGCAAUCUUCCGUCACCUCCUGUUAAUGCUCUUACCACGCGUUCUGAGGUUCUCAGCCCUGCUGUUGAAGUCUGCUAGAGGACCCAGAUAGUCCAAGGGGUAAACAGAAACCACAUAUGUCCUCUUAGAAGUGGAUAGUAGGGAGAAGCGGUGAUAGUGGAAAUACUGGAGGAGGGAGAACACACACAGAAAGGCCCAAUUAGUCAGGACUCACUUGGGUUGUGCAUGAUGCUGAUAUCCAGGUCCCAGCUGAGAUCCUGCUCUCAUCUCCACAGCCACAGAACACUAAUAGGAACAUUACAGAAGAGGAAAAGAUCAGCUACUCUCUCUAGAGUCUAUAAACACAGUUCUGCUCAGACGGGCUCAGCCCCGGUGGAAUCCCACAUUGCUUUCUAGUGCAGCAGAGACACCUACGUUAAAAUACCAGAUCCGUGCAGUUUAUUUGACAGAGGCCCCAAAGCUGGUGAGAUGGAAGGGUCUCUAGAGAUCAUGCAGGUAAUUUUCUUGAGAAGGUUAGUGACCAGGGCCAGAGCUUGGCCUCCUAACACCAUCUGCCCUUCCCAUGCUCUUUCUAGAGGAGCCUCUCAUCAGGAGUAACAGUGAGUAACAGUUCCACAGGGCACUGUGCUUCUGUGAAGAUUCAUUCCCACCAAUUUGAUGUGAACUGUUGUUAUUCUACAGGCAUGCUCUCUGACUCGAUCCUCGGGCCCUGUCCCUCUACACUGAAAACAGGAACCUUGAGCCAGAGAGCUCCAGUAGGAGCAGACUAAACAAACAGGAGGACCUUGGCAGGUUCGCGGGGAACCAUGCCUACAGGCCCCACUGGCAAUGUCAGAUCGGACCUCAGCUGCUUCAGAGAGCAGGAGAAGCUGGAGCCGGGGGCUUAAAAUAGGUUGCCCCUAACUUUCAUGAAGCAGACAAAUAUUUAACUUUUACCCCUACCCUUGUUU